rnacentral:rRNA from 1 species
ACUCAAAUGAAUUGACGGGGACCUGCACAAGCAGCGGAGCGUGUGGUUUAAUUCGAAGCAACGCGAAGAACCUUACCAGGGUUUGACAUGGUCUUGACAAACGCAGAGAUGCGUCUCCCUUCGGGGCAAGAGCACAGGUGCUGCAUGGCUGUCGUCAGCUCGUGCCGUGAGGUGUUGGGUUAAGUCCCGCAACGAGCGCAACCCCCAUGCUCGGUUGCAGGUUUCCGAGCAGACUGCCACGCUAAACGUGGAGGAAGGUGGGGAUGACGUCAAGUCAGCACGGCCCUUACAUCCUGGGCGACACACACGCUACAAUGGCCGAGACAAAGGGUUGCCAACCCGCGAGGGGGAGCUAAUCCCGGCAAACUCGGUCUCAGUUCAGAUUGCAGGCUGCAACCCGCCUGCAUGAAGGAGGAGUUGCUAGUAACCGUGGGUCAGCACACCACGGUGAAUACGUUCCCAGGUCUUGUACACACCGCCCGU